UACGGAGGGGUGCAAGCGUUUAUCCGGAAUCAUUGGGUUUAAAGGGUCCGCAGGCGGUCUGAUAAGUCAGUGGUGAAAGCCUACAGCUCAACUGUAGAACUGCCAUUGAUACUGUCAGACUUGAAUUCGAUCGAAGUGGGCGGAAUGUGACAUGUAGCGGUGGAAAUGCUUAGAUAUGUCACAGAACACCGAUAGCGAAAGGGC
rnacentral:rRNA from 1 species